UCUCUCGUAGCUUAGUGGUCAGAGCGUUGGUGCAUAAAGCCGAAGGUCCUAGGUUCGAUUCCCGGCGGGGGUG
rnacentral:tRNA from 1 species